CGGACUUGAUAUCUAACAAAUCAUCCAGAGAUGGAAGAGUGUCUGCUUGCAGAAAUGUUAAGACAGGUGCUGCACGGCU
rnacentral:rRNA from 1 species